CCUACGGGUGGCAGCAGUGAGGAAUAUUGGUCAAUGGACGAGAGUCUGAACCAGCCAAGUAGCGUGAAGGAUGACUGCCCUAUGGGUUGUAAACUUCUUUUAUAUGGGAAUAAAACGUUCCACGUGUGGGAUUUUGUAUGUACCAUAUGAAUAAGGAUCGGCUAACUCCGGGCCAGCAGCCGCGGUAAUACGGAGUCUCCGAGCGUUAUCCGGAUUUAUUGGGUUUAAAGGGUGCGUAGGUGGAUUGUUAAGUCAGUUGUGAAAGUUUGCGGCUCAACCGUAAAAUUGCAGUUGAAACUGGCAGUCUUGAGUACAGUAGAGGUGGGCGGAAUUCGUGGUGUAGCGGUGAAAUGCUUAUAUAUCACGAAGAACUCCGAUUGCGAAGGCAGUUCACUGGACUGCAACUGACACUGAGGCUCGAAAGUGUGGGUAUCAAACAGGAGUAGAUACCCGAGUAGUC
rnacentral:rRNA from 1 species